CUCACAGAUCAGCGGCCGGUAGCGCCGUUCCUGCUUCCCCAUGGCGGCCAGCGCGCUCCGGCACAGGUCCUGAAACGCGGGCAGGCGGUGGGGAGGCUGCAGCAGGCCCGCCGGCGAAACGGGACAGAGACCCGGCCCCCCUGCUGCGCCCCUCUGGCUCCCGGCCUCCUCCGCUAAGUAAAGGGGUGCGGGCCCAGCCGUGAGGGAGCCCCCUUCAUGCCGGCAGGGGUGGGGGCCGGUGCACGGCGGGCCGGCUCCCGUCCUGGCUGGCAGGACUGCAGGGCCACCGAGACCCGUGCAAAAGGGUGUUCUGCUGGCACACGCAGAAGUGAGGACCGCCUGUGCCUUGGCGUCCGGCAGACACCGAGGAAUCUCCUCCCCAGAGAAACCGCUCACAAUGGGUGUCCGUGAUCCACCCGUUAAGGACACAUACGGGACAGCCUUCACUUGUACCCUGAGUGGCGAGGAGUGCAGGGGCAGCCAACGGGGAGCCACACUAUGGGGGCAAGACUGAGUUUCUACCCGACUUUGUGAUCUGACCUUACAGAACCAGAUGGUUAAGGUACCUUCACCACGGCUGUGACUUCUGAGGAACCUUCUAGAAGCCGGCAUACUGACGGUUCCUUUCCCCUCACACAGCUGUGUCCUGGAACUCAGGCCUCUGGCACCACGGGCACAGCACCCCUCACCCCCGGCCCACACAGUUGCUUCUGAGGCCAAAAGCCCCAUCUCCACAGGAACUGCACGUGAGGCACAGCCCGCUUGGCUCGCCCCGGGUCCAUUAGCACCAUCGAGGCCCCUCCCGCAGGACCAGAGAGCCACUCCGUCCUUUAAAGGACAAGCCACAGCCACACCUACAGUAAGACAUAGCUAUUGACAUCUUAGCCUCAUCAAUCUCUACGUGCUGAGGUGACUCCGUGUGGACCGCCCGGGCUCGGAGGGUGUCCAACAAGGGACGGCUGAGCUCCUGUCCUCACGGACACGGCCUGUCCCUGUGCUAGCAGGGGAGAGAUAUGACAAUGUGUUGUGGAGGAGAGGCCAGGGAGGGGUGAGCAGCAGGGGCCACUCCCUUCCGGACGGCCUGGCUUCCUGAGGAAAGCGAGGGGAUGAGCCGCCGGUCUUUAGGGACAGUGCUCCAGGCAGAGAAAAGGGCCAGUGUCAACUCUGCAGAUGACGGGGUCCGAGCGGGUGAAGGGAGUGUGCCAGCUCGCCUGGCCUGACACACCACAGUCCCGCCUUCGCCUUCUGAUGGCCCUGACGGCCCCUCGGACAGAAGCCUAUGGCCGGCUGGGGACGACUCCAGAGGAGACAGGGUGGGGAGGCGGGGCACCCACGGGAAGGAGGGUCUGGAGUUUAACGAAGGCACGACCAAAAGACGUGCCACAGAACCGGCAGCUGUUGAAGACAUCUGCUGAGAGAAACCGAGGGGGUCCUUCUUGGCUUCUGUCACCUUGUAAAGAACCGUGGGACUCUUCUCAGAAAACCUGUGAGGCUCAGGGGAUGCGGAGCCCAGAGGGCACGUGAACACAGGGCAGCUCUCAGACCAGGUUCUCGAGCCAGACGCCGUGCAGGCCGAGUGCCUUCUCCCUCGGCACCCCGCUACUGCGCCUUCCUGUUGGUGUCCCCGAUUCCUAGAGUCACAGCCUCGUGACAAGAACGCCCCCUGACCUGCUCCCCACCCACCCGAGGCGGCCGGGAAGCCUUACCUGGAGCUCCUGGGGGUGACUGCAGGCGGCCAGGUGCUCCGUCAGCAGGGCCCGGAGGGGCCGCACGAUGUCGUGGAAGGAUGGCAGGGGGCCGUACGUGAGCACGCAGUGCUUCACCAGAGCCAGACACACGGCCAGGCAGGACAGUCUGCAAGAGGGCGACACCCGGCGUCAGGGCCGGUGGCCAGACGGGAGCCGGCUCCUUCCCGUCGGGCACUGCCUCCGCCAACCACCCCGGCAGCACUCAACUCCGAGACCUGUCCCGGGCCGCGGGGCCACCGGAGCGGAGACCCUGCCCGCGCAGUGUCCGCAGCAGCCGACGGCUCACGGCAUCGGGCCAGAAACACCGCGAAACACACCUUUCGUCCCCAAGUCUAAAGGACCGUUGUGGGAAAUGCAGUAACAACUUUGGGAGAGUGGCUCUGUGUUAGGUUUUAAAUUACUAUUUGCAAAAUCAAGCAGACAGAUCUCCAAAAUUUUAGGACAGGUUUUUUUUUCUUUCAUGGACUUGGACGGACACUUCUCCACAGAAGACAUACAAAUGGCCAAUAAGCACAUGAAAAGAUGCUCAACGUCACUAGUCUUUAGGGAAAUGCAAAUCAAAACCACGAGGUGUCACUUGAUUCCCAUGAGAAUGCCUAUUAUUAAAAAAAAUGAUAGUAAUGAAAUAAUAAAUGUUGGUGAAGAUGUGGAGAAACCGGAACCCUGUGCACCGUUGGCGCGGAUGUAAAAUAUGGCACUGAGUGGAGGCUCAUCAAAAAAAUUAAACGCAGAAUUACCAUAGGACCCAGCAAUUCUGCUUCUGAACAUACACUGAAAAGAAUUAAAAGUAGGGCCUCAAAGAGAUACCUGUACACCCACAUCCACUGCGACAUUACUGACAAUAGCUAAGAUGUGGAGGAACCCAAGUGUCCGCUGACAGAGAAGCAAAACGUGGUCCAUCCAGACAAUGGCAUAUUAUUCAGCCUUUAAAAAGUAAGGAAAUUCUCGGGUGCCUGGGUGGCUCGGUCGAGCAUCUGACUCUUGAUUUUGGCUCAGGUCACAAUCCCUGGGUCGUGGGAUCAAGCCUCCAUGUGGGGCUCUGUGCUGAGCGUGGAGUCUGCCUGCUAUUCUCUUCCUCUCUCUCUUCCUCUGCCCCCUCUCCCCUGCUCAUGCUCUCUCCAAAAUAAAAAUAAAAAAAAAUAAUAAAUAAAAAAAAA